rnacentral:rRNA from 1 species
AACCUGGUUGAUCCUGCCAGUAGUCAUAUGCUUGUCUCAAAGACUAAGCCAUGCAUGUCUAAGUAUAAAUGGCAUACAGUAAAACUGCGAAUGGCUCAUUAAAACAGUUAUAGUUUAUUUGGUAAUCGAAUUUACAUGGAUAACCGUGGUAAUUCUAGAGCUAAUACAUGCUGUAAAGCCCGACUUCUCGGAAGGGCCGUGUUUAUUAGAUAACAGACCAACAGCUUCGGCUAUUGUGGUGAAUCAUAGUAACUAAUCGGAUCGCAUGGGCUAGUCCCGCGACAAACCAUUCAAGUUUCUGCCCCAUCAGCUUUCGACGGUAGUGUAUUGGACUACCGAGGCUUUUACGGGUAACGGAGGAUUAGGGUUCGAUUCUGGAGAGGGAGCCUGAGAAACGGCUACCACAUCUAAGGAAGGCAGCAGGCGCGUAAAUUACCCAAUUCUGAUUCAGAGAGGUAGUGACAAGAAAUAACGGGUCGGGACUUUGUCCCGGGACUGCAAUGAGAUGAACUUAUACCCCUUUUCGAGUAACAAUUGGAGGGCAAGUCUGGUGCCAGCAGCCGUGGUAAUUCCAGCUCCAAUAGCGUAUAUUAAAGUUGUUGCAGUUAAAAGCUCGUAGUGGAUUCUGGCAGGAUGACUUGCC